UCACUUUUGAGGCCGCCUGUUUCCAAUAAAUUUGUCGAAAAUUGACCUGGUGGUCAGUAGUCGAUGACGAUUGAGCGUUUUCGUUGAGGUGUUGUGUUGCAUUUUGUGUUGUGCUAGGAAUCUCCGGAUUUAUAAAGAUGGUGAAUUUUAGACUGGACAUGUUUUUUGAAAACCAUUAUGGAGAAGAAAUGUGGAUUACACAGGAAUUUCCAGCAAAGUCAAGUGUAAUUACCGGAAUUGAAGUUUGAAGGCCGAACAGAAGAAUUAACAAAUCUGACUGUGACAGAAGGCUGGCGAUAACUUGGCAGAUAUUGUUGAAUGACGGCCCUUGAUUCCACGAAGAUUAAAACGUGGAGAAUGACACAAAUCAAACCCACAAACAAGUCCCAGGAAAGCACCGUAUUCAAAUGACUCAAAUUGAUGGUGCAGGCGUAAAUGGAUCGAUAGCCCAUCCAGAACGGACUGUUUUCUUGUACCAUUCGUAACGAAUUAUAGACACGUAACGAUCUAUAGCUGCCAACAGCAGACACUGCAGGAGGAUUGAGUAAUCCAUCGGAUAAAUGCGCAUUCAAGCAAGAAGAGACACUCGAAGAACGAAAUGGCAACCCAGAAGAUGUGACGUGGAUAUCGUAACUGUCUGGAACUGCUCACUACUAAGAUGACGAUGCAAUUCAGAAACGUCCCAACAGCUAUGACCAAAGUCCGGUAGAAUUCCUGAAUGAUGGAAAUGUUUUGUUCCAUGAUCUGGUAUUCGAGCAAAUUGAGCGAUACAUUUGUUGCAGGCUUCUAUAUAACCACUUGUUACCUCACUGGCGGCGAAUUCAUCCCGCAUGCGCGGCAAUUAUUCGAAUAUAGCGACUGUCGAACUUUUCCAUUACAGUAAUAAGAGAUUGUACAGCCCACGUAUGAACCAUUUAACAUUUUUUGUAGCUACACGACAUGAUUAAAGCCAGAUAUUAUUAAUUAAAUAAUUGUGUUUGUCACUGUAAUUUAGCCUCGAGAACACACGAAUUGUCAAUAACGGCUCCGUGUUGAGAUGAUUAAACGCAGCAGUCAGCCCGAUCUGCUUGUUGAUAGGUCUCGCAAAAUGAAACAAAACUUAACAACUCCAAUACUCUUACGAAAUGAUGUACAACGAGUAUGUGUAUUAUGGCAAGCCAAAGACGAAGAAGGUGCAUCUAUAGGUCAUAGACAAUUGUGUGCAUUUGCCACACAUGCUACGCUUUUAAAGAAAUGAUCGCUCAUCCUCCACACAUUUCUCUGUGUCCUUGCAUUUUAGCUGCAGGAUAUUUAGAGUUUUGGACGGAAACUCAGUCAGCAGUUUGGAUUUCAGGUGUGCCUGAGCAAGUACAACUUGGUUUAAUCUGCGGUUCUAAUGGAUUUAUUCAGACCCACUACAAUUGUGUUUCGGAGUAAGAACAUGUUCGAUUGGACAGCUGAGCUUUCUGGAGUCUGCUUGAACACGUUGCAAGAAAAGGCAAGAGACGAGAGAAAUCUAUCUUUCAAACAACUUACGUUCCAGCACUUCACAUCGUCUCAGCUGCCCGGUUCAAGCAAAGUUUGAAAAGCCCAGGAAGGACUAAUCCACGUCGUAAACAAGUUUGUGAGCAAUCGAAGGAAACGAUUUUGGGGGGGGCUAUCUGUGAUGACCAAUUUCAGCCCAAAUGACACCAAUGUGAUUUGUAGUCAGCUGGGAUUCCCCUUAGGUAGCUAGCCAGGCCCUCUUGUACUCCACUUUUGGACCGGGUUAUCCCAUUUUGAUGGACAACGUCAUGUGCAGGGGCAACAAACGUUCUUUUGCCGACUGUCGUUUCGCCGGCUGGAGAGUUCACAACUGUCUUCCCGAAGAGAUAUGACCACAACGCGAUAAUCACUGGUGUGGCGCUACCAUCAUCUCCGAGCAUUUUGUCCUCACAGCCGCCCAUUGCAUGGAAGAUUUUCCCAAGGUCUCUACGUUUUGCGAGUUGGUGACUACACUACCGAGGAAAGUGACAUAGAGGAUCAGUUCACUGUCGAGCAAAUGCAUCUUCCCAAAGAAUUGGGACAAGGAGGACAUUUGAAUAACGAUAUCGCUCUCUUCCGUGUCAAAACAAAAGGCAACCGAGACCUACGGUUCGAUUCUCACGCGCAGCCUCUGUGCCUUCCAACUCCGGAUACCGCCUACGUUCCAGGAACAAAUCGCACUAUCUGGUCCAUUUCCCAAGCGCGGUGGACCAGAAGUUCACCUGGUCAACCCGGAGCAGCAUUUGCAAUCAAACUACAAUCGGCUACCGUUCCGAUUUCGCUGGAUGGAACGUGUAAAACACCUUACGUGUAUGGUCCCGAUCAGAUCAAAGUUGGGAUGUUUUGUGCUGGUCUCCUCGAAGGUGGUGUAGACGCUUGUCUAGGCUAUUCUGGUGGCGGAUUAGUCUGUCUAGUUGACGGCAAGCUGACAUUAAUGGAAGUCAUCGGCUGGGGUUUCGGGUGUGGACGCCCUAGCCGCCCCGAUGUUUACACACGCGUUGUCCAUUGUCUGCCAUAUACACUUUCAGCGGAUUUUAACGGAAGUGCCCAGGUCAUAUUGGAACAUAAAAAUUUCUUUCUGUUUCUAUCCAGCAGCUGAAAAGGAUUUCACGGGGUAACCCAUUUUUGACUGAAGAGCUGUACGAUCUUCUUUUCGAGUAAAAGUUGAAGCAUAUCUGUCAUGGAGGGAAGAAUAAAAGUUUGAAAACAGCUGGGUAAUGUCAAUCAAAAGUUCUGUUUUUGGCUUUAUUUUUCCCUGUUAAUAUAAUACCUUACCGUCCUGUUUGUUUUCAACUGGGCGUUCAAUCCAGAUUGCACUGAAUCUAUCAUUCAGCAUCAGAAAGAAUGAACUGCAAUGGGGUUCAAACUCAUCUUGAUGUCCUUUAUAAAAUGUCCUUUUUUGGUUCUAUGUGUGAGUGAGUGCUGGUUUCUAGCAGUUUUUCUUUUUUCUAUGCCAGGAGACGAUGGAGCUGAUCGAUAUACUAGUUUCUUCCAUUCUCAUGGAAAACGACUACUAGCCCUGCGGAAAACAGACAACUGAACCAUGAUAACGUUUUCCUGCCCUGACCUAGACAAGUAAAGAUCGACAGCAUCGCUCAACAACAGGGCUUGUCAACUGUAUUUGGAAGCAAAGAGGAAAUGGAAAAAAGAUUGGCUGCCAAGAUAUAUGCACUGAACCGGCUGGGAAAAGACCUGCGCUGAACCUUAUAGAUCUUAUCAUGGCAUUUUUAAUAUUUCUUACGUUAGCCUAGUCAACCACUCAGCGAAAUUAGAUUGUGUGAUAAUGUGAUAUUACGUGAUUACUAGAGAGUGUGUAGGUGUACAACCUACGUGGAAAAUUCAAUGACAACCUUCGCGAUCACUGCGACAGUCUAGCAAGUUUGCAGGGUGAACGUGUAGCCUUCACAUGAUAUAAUUUCAGUUCUUGGUAUUUUCUCCGGGAGUGAUGUUGCGGCAUACGUCUAAAAUUUAUUAAGACCUUAAACAGCUUACUGUGCAGGAGCUCGCAUGAUCGUCUUUGCUGAUCCUUCUGAAUCAUUGAACAACAAGUAGCAACAAAUAAUAUCAGGAUUGGUGAAACCUGUUAGAAAAAAUUUGCAUCAAGCAAUCUUCCUCGGAUGGUCGCUGAAGCGCUGGCUUUUGAGGCAAGACUACAUAGCUUCCGAAAUAGAUACCGGCAGAACGAAGAAUCCAUCGAUUGAUGUAACGGAUUACAAGAAACAAAACGUUUGGUGCGUAAUCUAUUGUAACAAAUGUUUUCGUUGGGAAACUAAUACUUCACGGCAUGAAACUACACACCGCUACAGCAUGGAAUUGAUCGCCCAUACUCAAUUUAUAAAUGUCCUUUGUGACGUUCGUGAACAGCAAAAGGACAUUGCGUCUUCAAUCCAAGGGGAAAACAUUACGUGGCGUGCCCGCCGGAAAUCGUGACAGCUGAUCAUGUACAUGAG